rnacentral:rRNA from 1 species
AUACAGAGGGUGCGAGCGUUAAUCGGAAUUACUGGGCGUAAAGCGCGCGUAGGCGGUCUAUUAAGUCAGAUGUGGAAUCCCAGGGCUCAACCUUGGAACUGCAUCUGAUACUGGUAGACUAGAGUUUUGGAGAGGGAAGUAGAAUUUCAGGUGUAGCGGUGAAAUGCAUAGAGAUCUGAAGGAAUACCAGUGGCGAAGGCGACUUCCUGGCCAAAAACUGACGCUGAGGUGCGAAAGCGUGGGUAGCAAACGGGAUUAGAAACCCUGGUAGUCC